GUGCCAGCAGCCGCGGUAAGACGGAGGGUGCAAGCGUUGUUCGGAAUUACUAGGCGUAAAGAGCGUGUAGGUGGUUAGCUAAGUCGGAUGUGAAAAUUCCGAGCUUAACUCGGAACCUGCAUUCGAAACUGGUUAACUUGAGUGUGGGAGAGGAGAGUGGAAUUCCUAGUGUAGCGGUGAAAUGCGUAGAUAUUAGGAAGAACACCGGUGGCGAAGGCGACUCUCUGGCCUAAAACUGACACUGAGACGCGAAAGCGUGGGGAGCGAACAGGAUUAGAUACCCUGGUAGUCCACGCUGUAAACGAUGGGCAUUAGGUGUAGGAGGUAUCCAAUCCUUCUGUGCCGAAGCUAACGCAUUAAAUGCCCCGCCUGGGGAGUACGGUCGCAAGGCUGAAACUUAAAUGAAUUGACGGGG
rnacentral:rRNA from 1 species